ACAAAAAGGAGGAAGCUCGCCUUCGAGAGCAGAGACAAGAGAAGGCAGAGAGCGAGACUGCCCGAGGAAUGGGAGGGGAGGAGAGAGAAGAGGAGAUCUGAAGCGAGGUCACAUCUAGACAGGACACAGUAGGAAGUGAAGCUAGAACAAAGACAAGUGAGCGGCCAGGCCACAGCUAGGGAGAAAUGAUGGACUCUCAGGACAGGGGAUGCACAUAAAGGAGAGACAGAGGAUUUUUCUGUGUGACCAGAGAAUAGCGAUUAAAAAGGUAAGAAUGACAGGAAAGGGAGGAAAAGGGAAUACUUAAGGGAACAAAACAAGUGCUAGUUCAAUGCUUAGCAAAUCACCCAGCAGUUAGGCUGAGCCAGAAAGAGAGCCAUAGCCAUACCCGAGAGGGAAGCAUCAGAAAAAGGAGGCAGGCAAUUUAAGUAACUAGCUACUGAGGCAAAAAUGAAAAGAAAAGAAGAUGGAAAAGGCCCCAAACUAGGCCAAGAUUCUGACUGACAUUUCUGAGCUCACCAGCUGCUGUUUCCUUGAGAGAAUUCUGACAGGAAGGCAUAGAAACGCAAGCCAACACUGGCAGCUCUGGAAAAAAUAAUCAUACUAACACUCCGUGCUCUAAACACCUCAAUGGAACUCACGCCUCCCGUGGAAGAAAGCGCUCAGAGGAGGAGGGACUUGCCCACAACUUUCCCCAGGUGUGGACCAAUGAUACCAAGGAAUCCUCACACUAGAGGUUGCCUGCAGCCACUCCCAAUGGAGAUGCCUCCUGCUCUGGCUGGUCAAACGGAACCAAGUCCGUCUUCCUGAGAGGUUUGGUCCCCUUCAACCAGCUACAGCAGGGCUGGCCAUGCCCAGUCCUUGGAGGAACAGAAGAGAUCCGCCUGUGGCUGAAAUUACAGCCUAACGCUGCCCUUAAGAAAAUGACUCUGAUUUUAUCAUAUACUCGUAUGUUCUCAGGAAGAGAGGAAAAAGGAGCCCUUGGUUCUAAAGUCAGCAAUAUUUUCACACUUGACACACAGAGUUCUGUGACUUUACACCCAAAACUAGACCCACUCUCAUGCUCCUGACACACACAGUCAGUAAAGAUUCUGAGGAGGGAAUUUUUGCCAGCUCUGGUCGAGCCAGGGUAAUAGUGUGAGACCUCAGAGAUAGGACUUCUGCUCACAAGGGGCUAACAGGCUAUUUAAGUUAAGAAAUUGGAUGUAUGAAUACGGCACAAUUAAAUGGAACUGCAAGUCAGAGCAUGGCUAGUUCCAAACAUAAUGCUUUUUACAGAGCGCAUCAUAUAUGCCUGGCACAUUGUGUACCACCAAGGCUUUACUGACCCUUGCAGCCCAAGAUAUCUAUUCACUAAGCAAUAUACAUGGGACUCAGUUUCCUGGUCAGUAGAAUGGUGAUAACAAUCAUAGCACCUAUCACAUAGGAUUUUGUGUAGACUGAAAGGACACAUGUUAAGGAGUUAAGAAGUUAGGUUAAUCCUGACCUAUCCUUUCAAUCUCUCUUUCAAAAUGGUGUAUCUUUGACAGUAUACCAAGGAGUAUGCCCAAAAUUUAGCUAGUGCUCAAUAACACUUGUUUGAAUUCAGAGGUACGUGUUUUCACAUGCUGGAUUCUGACAUAAUGUGGUCUCAUGAUGCCCAGAGUCCACCAAGUCUACAGAGGGUGUGGCGCUCUCUGCACAUGCUUUGGAGUCAGGGAGAUCUGGGUUUGAAUCCUGUCCUUCUCAUUUAUUAGCUCUGAUAUGUCUUCUCCAACUCUCAGUUCACAUUGUAUAAACUUAAGUUUCCUCUUCUGUAAAAUAACAACAAUGAUACUUAAAGUUGAUUUAGGUACUUAAAAAGAUAAUGCGUAUACAGAGCUAACUAUAUAAUCCCUCAAUAAAUGGUAGCUGUUGUUUUGCUAUUGUAUGUGGCCACAAUUCAAGGCCAAGUUUGUGUUCAUAGACACCAGAAAAGUGAAAGACAAAACAAACAAACAAAAACUAAACUAAAAAUAAAUAAAACCUCAUUAUAGGGUAUUUUUAUGCUCUAACUACUAAUUCUACUAUCCAGCAGCAUGCAUUCAUACUUGUAUGUGUUACUAGUAUGUAAUCCAUUUUACUAAAAAUAAAUGCUUCAGUAUCAUCUUAAAGAAAUAUCCUGCCAAGAAAGCCCAUUUGUGAGCAGUGCUGAAAUGCUAGUCUUUAGUCAUGUCCUCCUGAGCUGUGGAGCUUAGACACAGGCACUGGAGCCUGACUGUGUGGGAUCCCAGCUCCCCAGACUCCAACCAGCUGUGCCACUUGGGCAACUUGCUUGACCUCUUUGGGCCUGAGUUUCCUGAUAUGUAGAAUGAGGAUAUUAACAAUAGUAUCUACCUCACAGGUCUUUCAUGAGAAUGAAAUGAAAAUACAUGUAAAGAUCUAAAAUAGGGGUGUCGAACUCAAUCAGAGAAGGGGCCAAAAUCUAAAAUCCAGCCUA